UACGUAGGGGGCAAGCGUUGUCCGGAUUUAUUGGGCGUAAAGAGCGUGUAGGCGGCUUUACAGGUCCGUUGUGAAAACUCGAGGCUCAACCUCGAGACGCCGGUGGAAACCGUAAAGCUAGAGUCCGGAAGAGGAGAGUGGAAUUCCCGGUGUAGCGGUGAAAUGCGCAGAUAUCGGGAAGAACACCCGUGGCUAAGGCGGCUCUCUAGUACGGUACUGACGCUGAGACGCGAAAGCGUGGGGAGCGAACAGG
rnacentral:rRNA from 1 species